rnacentral:rRNA from 1 species
UGGGGAAUUUUGGACAAUGGGGGCAACCCUGAUCCAGCCAUGCCGCGUGCGGGAAGAAGGCCUUCGGGUUGUAAACCGCUUUCGGCCGGAACGAAAUCGCGCGGGUGAAUAACCCGUGUGGAUGACGGUACCGGAAGAAGAAGCACCGGCUAACUACGUGCCAGCAGCCGCGGUAAUACGUAGGGUGCGAGCGUUAAUCGGAAUUACUGGGCGUAAAGCGUGCGCAGGCGGCUCGCUAAGCCAGAGGUGAAAUCCCCGGGCUCAACCUGGGAAUGGCCUUUGGAACUAGCGGGCUCGAGUGCGGCAGAGGGGGGUGGAAUUCCUGGUGUAGCAGUGAAAUGCGUAGAUAUCAGGAGGAACACCGAUGGCGAAGGCAGCCCCCUGGGCCAGCACUGACGCU